GUGGGGAAUAUUGCACAAUGGGCGAAAGCCUGAUGCAGCGACGCCGCGUGAGCGAUGAAGUAUUUCGGUACGUAAAGCUCUAUCAGCAGGGAAGAUAAUGACGGUACCAGACUAAGAAGCACCGGCUAAAUACGUGCCAGCAGCCGCGGUAAUACGUAUGGUGCAAGCGUUAUCCGGAUUUACUGGGUGUAAAGGGAGCGUAGGCGGCGUGGUAAGUCAGAAGUGAAAGCCCGGGGCUCAACCCCGGGACUGCUUUUGAAACUAUCAUGCUAGAGUGUCGGAGAGGUAAGUGGAAUUCCUAGUGUAGCGGUGAAAUGCGUAGAUAUUAGGAGGAACACCAGUGGCGAAGGCGGCUUACUGGACGAUAACUGACGCUGAGGCUCGAAAGCGUGGGGAGCAAACAGGAUUAGAUACCCCGGUAGUCC
rnacentral:rRNA from 1 species